ensembl:lncRNA
GGUACGUCUGCAGGCAGCCCCGAAGCGGAUUAUUGCUGAGGCUGCGCUGUGUCGUAAUCCCGUCUGGAUGGAACGCUUCGGAGGCCGUCGGCAGGUCGGAACAUCUCCGCACGCUCCGGUGCCGCGCUGCCAUCGUCGGUAUUAACAAAUGCCUGCCGUAGUUGUUGUGGUUUUCUGGUGUGACGGCCGAUGGGGUCAGCCCCUGCUCCGUGGUCCCGCUCGGUGGAGAUGGAGGUGGUGUGAGCAACGUGCCCGCAGCGUAGCGCAAAGGAAGGGAAACGUGGGGAGAAAGUGGGUUGGAACCCAUCACCCUCCCCUCUCGUGGGAGUUCUGCUGCGUGACAGUGCUGAGAUCGCCUUACUGCUUCGUGUUCCUUUCUUCUGCCCUCUAGUUGUACUGUGCCAAAGGUAGGCUGUCCUUACACCUGUCUCCUUCUCAAAGCAGAAGGGGAAAAUAAAGAGAAAUAUUGCUCUCAGCAGUCGUCCGGAGGUGGGUUUGGUUCCUAAUUCCAGCUCUGUUUGAGCCGUGAAAGCUUACACUGCUCAGUAACUGUGUCAGUGAGGGUACAGUGUCAGGAGAGAAGGCUUAAGGUAACGUUGCUGCUGAGAAGGGCAGCCCUGUGCACCUCCUUCCCAUCCUCCCGUUACCUCCUUUCAUUGCCUCUGGGUGUGGGUGCCUGCGUGGCUGGCUGGCUCCCUGCUGGCAGCGCUCAGCGCUGGAUGGAAGCGCAGUGAGCAGAGGCUGUGUGUAAGAGGGAGCGGCAGGCCCGCCCAGCUGGGCACUGCUCGGAUUCCAGGCUUUACAGCAGCUUCUGAAAGCGUGCCCGAGGCUGCGGUUCCUUGGACAGAGGUCUAAAAGGUGUUUGAUAAACUGCUUUGAGAAGAGGAGAAUUCCUCCGGAACUGAUGAGAUGAGAUGCGUUCCUCGGCGAUGUGACACAUCUCAGUCUUGAGUGCUUUGCUGUGGGCAGCCCGGCAUGUGACACCAAGCACUGUAUACAAGAGAACUCAUUUCUCCAGCUAAGAGGCUUUGUCAGUGGGAGGCAUCUCAGACUUUCCUGUUUGCCCCAUGGAUGUAUAUAGAAUAGGAGCUCCAGGUAAUCAGGAGAAAAAAAUCCACCAUCAAAGAACUAACUACAGCUGAAAAGCCCUGCUGAUGUGUGGUGCUUCAGGUGAAGGAAUUUCUGCAUGCUGCAGUGGUAAUAUGUUUUGAGUUACUUAUAAAAUAGCUGAUUCCUUGCAUAUGUUUUUUUGUAACUCUGCUUGUUUUUUUUUUUUGCUUGCCAGAAGAAACAUUUUGCUUUAGCUGCAGCAUUGUGCUUUUAAGUCCUGCCUUUCUACUUACUCAUUUUGAAACCUCUCCCUAGAUGUGAUGGACAGGAGUUGCCUCCGGCACAGUCUGUGGCUAUUCCUCAACGUGCACUUGUAGAGAUGUCUGUGAAGAGCUCGAGGAGUAAAAGGCAGAUCAGGUUUUUUGCAUUUUCUGUUCUCUUGUACCUCUCUGUGAACUCGCUGUCAGGAUGUGGUUCAUCUCAGGUGUGUUUGUACCAAAUUCUUGGUUUCAGAGGUGCACGGGCGCUUAGCGUAACUGAGAUCAGGAUUUAGAUUGAGCUCCAGAUGGUGAUCAGAGGAUUACUUGGAGAGCUGAUUAUGAGAGUUCUUUGUAUAAGUCCCAUGCCUAACUGAAUAGUUACAUCACAAAGAUUUCUCUUUAAUGAGUCAUCAGACAAUUUAGUGGGGGGAAAAAAAAAACAACCACCACCACCUUCUAAGCUUUCCCAUGAAGCUGUUUUUCCUUAGCCCAUCUGGUUCCUAUUGAGCUGUACCCCAGCACUUGCAGGCUGCUUUAAUAGGUAUUCAUUUUCUGACUCUGAGGAUGACGUCUAUGAUAUCUCUUAUGUCUGAAUAUCUUCUUCUCUGCAUGUGUGGCCUACGUUUGUCCUUGUGUUCAUCUACCAAGUGUGAGUGUACUGCUGUGGUGUGAGCAGUGAACAAAGACCGUUGUCCAUGGUGUGUUCCAAAGUACAAUCCGCUGCAUUUGUGUGUGCUAUUUUUGGAGUUUUCUUAGCAGAGAAGGUGGUCAGCCAGUCUGACUUCAGAGCCAAGUUAAGGGGAAAGUAGCAGUGCAAGCAGCAAGUGGGUGAGAAAACGUUCUUUUUACUCCUUUUGUCUUGCCAGGAAACAUCUUGUUCUCUUCUUCAGAUUUGUGAACUGCGCCUACUCUUCUCUUAGCUCAACAGAUUUGCCCAUCAGCUUGCAGAUAAAGGCCAAUGCUCCUGGCAUCUGCAGCUCUGGAUCUCUGUGCUGGCACGACUCGUCAGGCUGCAUUGUCACUGUCUUGUUUGGUGCCUGGUACCGUGGCUGCCACAGCUCCGGCCUUUGCUCUGUGACUCUGCUGUGUUAGCUUAGUACUAACAGCAGUGAUGUUCCCUCAGUUACCAAUGCCUGUCUCUGGACUGCUUGAGUGUUUCCUGAAGAGUGGUUUCUCACCGGUGCUGUGUACCCAGCUCUGUUGCUGGCCUCAGAUCCACCAGGAGGUUAAAUACUGCUGCAAUUGUAGUGGUGUUGGGCUCCCAUGCUGGUGGUGCCAAGGACCACAGCAGGCAGUAGCCUGAUUUCCUUAGCAUCGUUUUUUUUUCUGCCUAUUUGCCUUACAACUACCAGACUUUCUUUGUGGUAUUGCUCAUUGUCAGAGUGAGAAUGUUUAAAAGUUUUUUUUUUAGUCAUGGGGCUGCUUGGGAGGAUUCUUUUCAUCCCUUCCUAAGCAAAGGUUAACAUAGCAGCUGGAUGACUAAGAGCGCUUUGACCUUCCUGAUUCACUUACAAAUGUAGUACUUCUUUAAUGGGUUAUUGUACUUGAGGAAUGCAAAUGACCCGUAGUUUCGAUGUACCUGCCUGUCUGUAAGGGGGGGAAGUAGUGCUGCUGGGUAACUGAUUUGUUGUGUUUUUGUGAUGACGGACUCCUCCUGCAGCCUGCUCAUCACGAGACUCUUUGGAGGUAUCGGCUGCAAGCUAGAUUAUUUUUAUGCUCAAUCAUCCAUUGUUUUCUCCUGGGGACAGGAACUGCUGGGGAGGAAUAAUGGAAACUGUUUGAUGGGAGUGGUUUAAUACAGUUGUGGUUGGGAGCUCAGUGGGGUGACUGAGUAGACAGUCAGCUGCAGGGUUUUGUACAUCUGAUCCCAAACAGGCUGCUGCUGCUGCUUGCGGUUCUGCAAAGCGCAAGCGUUGUGUUACACCAGAUUCCCUCCUGGCCAACAAAUCCUUGGGGUCUUCUGCCAGUUUUGUGGGAGACCUUUUGGUUACAGCACCAAAAAACAGGUUAAAUUUUCGAUUCAUGUGUUGGAUUGCCUAGGCUGAGUGCUAAAUAGUUCUUAACCCUUAAACCAGCGUGCUCCAGUAAGAGACUGUCCUUGUUGCUGUUAGUAGGAAACCUGCCCAGCCAAAAGGCUAAUUUCCCCUUUUAGUGUUCAGUGAGUUCAGUGCUUUUGUCAGAGGUGACGAUAAUUCGUACUCCUUAUUUUUUCCUGUUAAGUCAUGCUUUGUCCUAAUUGCUCCUUAAGAUUUCAUUACGGUCUUUUUCAGAAACUUUGCAUCUCCAAGGCUUAAGUGAUUUACCACACCUGUGCGUUGAGAGAAGACUUUUUUUUUGUUUAAUUAGGGAUUUAAAUCUUCCAGAUACUCUUAGAAGCCACUACUGAGAGCAAGACUAUUGCCAGAGCUGCUUGGAGGUGCACUAGAGGCUUCCAUGAGCUUGUUUAUGCUUUGUGGUAUGAGUAUGCCCCUUUGCCCCCUGGGCCAGAUCAAAUGAUGCUGAGAGUUUUAAUGAAGAACUCUUCCAAGUCUGAUAUCACUCGGAACGAACCUCUGUGUUCUUGGGGUAGUUACUCACCAAGCACUGAGACUUUGCAGAGUCAUCCAGGAAUGAAACUGCACUUUGUGGAGCUGUACUGGGGUUACCAUCUGUGCAGAGGACUCUGGUGCUUGUUUCUGGAUAGCUGCAAAUGAGUAGCUCCAAGCAGGGUUUUGUGCGUGUGUUGUGUGCUCUCGGGGUUCCCUGGUGGUACAGAAGUGCCGCUUCUAAGUGGUUGGCAUUCUUUAGUCUAUCUUGUCUGUCUUGACACACCACUCUCCUUCUCUUCCAACUCCAGCAGGAAGAUGAGAAGGACUGAGAGCUGGGAAUAUAUACCAAACCUGCCUACCUGUGAGCCUGCAGAGAGGUGUGGGACUUGUACAGCAUCUGUGGCCAAAGGGGGUUAAAGCUCUUGGGAAGGUUGCAUCUCCAGCAGUCUAGUGUAGCAGCACGUGCUAAGCUGGAGUUGCUGGGAAGUAGCUGUCUUUUCCUAGGCUUCCUGGCUGCUGGGAACCUUGUGAAUGUGACCUGAGUAAACUAGAACAGAUGGAGGGUUUCGCUGCCUUGGCUAGCACUGCGACCCUUUCAUGGACACUGCAAAAGGGCAGCCUACAUAAUAGCGAUAACAGGAGCUGCAGGACACGCUGUGUUGAAUUUUAUCUGCCUAAAUAGCUGCUAGUCCAAUUCCAUUAAUGCUUGCAUAUUUAAUAAACUUUUAAUGUUGGAUUUUAAUGAGUUGGCAGUUAUCUCUGAGCAUCCAGCUGCAGCUCUCACCCAGUCUAGGAGGCUCUUGGAUGCGGAUAUCUCUCACUUAGAAGUCAUGCGGCCUCUCCUUGGGCAGUCAGCGCUUGGCAGGCUGUAGCGUGCUUUGAUGUAGGUUGUGCUGAUGUGCAGGAACGCUGAACUUCAUAAUGUGGUUGGUGCCCUAGAGGGAGGCUUUUCAGGGGAGGAAUCUUAAAAGUCUCAAUGUAAGAGAACGUGACCUUGGUUAAUCUCCUGGUGAACCAUUUAUGGAAUUGGGAUGAUUCUUGCUAGCAUUUGAAUUAUUUUGGUUGCAAAAUGGGCCCGUUAUGGAAUAUGUUUCUAAAGUGGUGUUCGCCUGUUUACAAUCUGAAUGUUUUGACUUUGUGUUUUCAGGCUCAUUUUCCAAACCUACAUCAAAGUCUCAAAACCCCAAACGGGUGAAGUGCUCUUCUUGUGUUGCACAAUUGGCAUUAAGCGUCCCUAAUGAGGCCAUGGAAUCUAAUCUAUUAUUGAGGAAACCUUGGUGGAAUUAAGUUUGAUGGUAGUACUUGGGAGAUAAACCCAAGCAUAGUGAAUAAAUGUCACAGAAUCACAGUUGUAGGGGUUGGAAGGGACCUCUGCAGCUCCAAACAUCCAUGCAGCCCUCCGCUGGGCUCUCCCCGGAACUUCCCUGUCUGGUGCUGGGAGCCCAGAACUGGGCACAGUGCUCCAGCUGUGGCCUCACCAGGGCAGAGCACUGAGGAAGAACCUCCCUAAGCCCACUGGGCAUGCUCUGUGCUAUGCACCCUGGGGUCCCAUAGGCCUUCUUGGCCACAGGGGCACACUGCUGGCUUGGGGUCACCCUGCUGUCCACCAGGACACCCAGGUCCUUCUCUGCAGAGAAGCUACAUAAAACAAGUUGCCCAAGGAGGCUUUGGAUGCCCCGUCCCUGGAGGCAUUCAAGGCCAGGCUGGAUGUGGCUCUGGGCAGCCUGGUCUGGCAGUUGGUGACCCUGCACAUAGCAGGGGGAUUGAAACUGGAUGAGUACUGUGGUUCUGUUCAACCCAGGCCAUUCUAUGAUUCUAUGAAAAUGCAGCAGGCAAGGUGAAAAGGGACCAUCAAUAGUACAGUGUAAUUCUCAGCUCUGGCACCAGUGUGACUUUAAAGUCACUUAUCCAUUCAUAACCUUCAGGGUAAAUUCUCAAUAUGCUACUGUAAAGCAGAUAGUAAAUGUGUAAACUCUGAUGGUUACAGGGGUAAGGCAAGGAGUCCUUGCUGCUUCCUUUGAGAUAAGUCAGCAAAGUUGUUCAGUAACUGGACCUAUCAGGUUGGUUUCAGAUGACCUUUCAGUGUGUUAGGCAAAAAGCAGGAAAAAUGUAUUGUUUGUGUAAUGUAGUGUCAUUUUCUGUGCGUGUGCUGUAUUUUAAAUUGAGAUUCUUUUUAUAUCUUCAGAAUACCCGUUUCUGAGAGCAACAGCAAAGAAACAUAAGUGCAAAAACUGAUGGACCAUUACAUCUUCUAAAAUGAGCCUAUUCACGCGUUUCUACUGGAAACUAGCAUGUCUUGAAGGUGAGUAGGUUUUGUUUGUGACAGAUGAGCUGUUUGAUGUUUUGGGACUUGACCAUCAGUCAUCCCAAAGAUAGUGUGCAGCUGCUUCUGUGGGAAGGCACAGCCUGUAGAAGCAUGCUUGUGAAGCGAUGUGUUUUGGCAUUGGAAGAAUGAUCUGGAAAGUAGGUGUAUUUUCUACCAUGUAUUAUUGUUACGAAUAUAUGAAAUUAUGAAUUAUUGUUAAUUUCCAAACUCUUGAAAAAAAUGGAGUGCUUAAUGAAGGAGAUGGAGUGUAUGGGAACUGUUGGAUCACAGCCUGAACCACUGAUUGAGCACCUGGGGAAAGGACCCAGCCAGCCCUGGGAGCACAGGUGGAGGCUUGGCUCCACCUCCCUUAGACCUCAUUGAAGGGCUCACUGCCACUGUGGAAGGAUCUCUGGUUGGAAAUCCCUCCCUUGUGGAGUUUUCCCCGUGAGCCUUGAUCUUCAGAGAUGGGUGAGCGCUUUCCCUUUUUCUUUUAACACCUUUCCAUCACGCUAAUUCCUUUGUCAUUACACCUCCUGUAUCACCAUUCCACCCUGUUGAUCUUCCUGAUUGUUACAUGAAGCAUGGAUAAUUUUUGGAGGGUGAGGGAAACACAGGUGUUUUACUUGCAGGAUGGGAAAGUUCAGUUUGCAAGACAAACUUCAGAUUGCUGAAUGCAUUAAAUUAGAUAAGGCUUUUUCAAGUUCAGCUGUGGGCAUACCUCAAGUGAUGCUAUCAGUGCUCAGUGCAGCUGAAGAAUAAUGCGUGCUGUCAAGGAUGGUAAAUUAAUUUCCCCGAAGUAAAGAACACAGUGCUUCAAUGAAAUGAAAUCCAUCUUAUUUUGUAGACUUCGUGGUAUCUUUUACGUUAUUUCUGUACUCAGCCCCUUAGGGCUGUAGGCAGUGGCCAUACAGUGAUGUUUUAAAAUCCUUUAACUCUAUUGACAGAAAUCAAAAUAGGAAAAGUCACAAACAGUUAAGAUUUAAAGCACUGUGAUUUAGACUUUACUAUCACUUUAAUAAGGAUAUAAAAGAAGCCUUGUGUCCUUUGCAUGUGUUUUGUGUGUGUGUGUCUCUCUCUUUCUGUAUAUAUAUAUAUAUACAUAUAUAUAUAUAUAUGUAUAUAAGAAUGUACUGUUCUUCCAGCCUACACUUUCAAACUACACUAAUCAUUGAACUUGGAGUGCCCCAGUUGCUUUCCACAUUAUGCAUCCCUUUUAUGUAAAGAGGCUGUGAAUAGUUCUGUGUUUGUAUAAUGAUCUUCGGUUAUUUUUGGAGGGAAGGAUCUUUUAAGUUUGGUCUAUGAAUUCUGCACCAAUAAGUAUCUGUAUAUUAAUAUCCAACAUUAAAAAAUUGUUGUGACAUUUGAGUGAUUGCAGGAGUCAGUAGUUAAACCUGAUGCUGUUUGCACACGCAUGAAGGAUGUUUAGAAGGCAAAACGUUUUCUGUGAAAUCUAUUGCUAGAAAAAUCUAGAAGACUAGGAAUCUGGGAAACUUGGAAAUAUUUAUUCUGGUGUCAUCUGUAC